rnacentral:rRNA from 1 species
GAUUUCUGACUGACCGUCCUGGCCCGCUUCUUUUACGGGAGUGAGUGCCGGUACGAGUUUGUCAUCCUUCCAGAGGGCCGCGCCUACCGUUCAUUCGGCCGGGCGUUCGUUAUCUGGAUCGAUUACUUUGAAAAAAUUAGAGUGUUUAAAGCAGGCUUAUGCUAUGAAUACAUUAGCAUGGAAUAAUAAUUUAGGACUUCGGUUCUAUUUUGUUGGUUUCUAGGACUGAAGUAAUGAUUGAUAGGGAUAGUUGGGGGUGCUAGUAUUCCGCGGCCAGAGGUGAAAUUCUUGGAUUCGUGGAAGACUAACUACUGCGAAAGCAUU